rnacentral:rRNA from 1 species
GACGAACGCUGGCGGCGUGCUUAACACAUGCAAGUCGAACGGAAAGGCCCUGCUUUUGUGGGGUGCUCGAGUGGCGAACGGGUGAGUAACACGUGAGUAACCUGCCCUUGACUUUGGGAUAACUUCAGGAAACUGGGGCUAAUACCGGAUAGGAGCUCCUGCUGCAUGGUGGGGGUUGGAAAGUUUCGGCGGUUGGGGAUGGACUCGCGGCUUAUCAGCUUGUUGGUGGGGUAGUGGCUUACCAAGGCUUUGACGGGUAGCCGGCCUGAGAGGGUGACCGGCCACAUUGGGACUGAGAUACGGCCCAGACUCCUACGGGAGGCAGCAGUGGGGAAUAUUGCACAAUGGGCAGAAGCCUGAUGCAGCAACGCCGCGUGCGGGAUGACGGCCUUCGGGUUGUAAACCGCUUUCGCCUGUGACGAAGCGUGAGUGACGGGAAUGGGUAAAGAAGCACCGGCGAACUACGU